ACUCUGGGGCGGAGGGGCCUGGAGACCGAGGUGCUGGGGCCCCCGGGAACUAGGGAGGUGUAGGUCUGAGGGGGAGGGGCUCGCGGGUCAGGGGGUCCUGAACCCCGGAGAGAGACCCUGCACCAGAGGUGUUCGGGAUCCCAGAGGGUGGCAUAGGUGGAUGGGGUCGGAGUGGAGAGGCGGAGGUCAGAAGUGCUGGGGAAGAGGUGGGAGCCUGGGAAGGGGUGAAGGUCGGAGGGCGCUGUGUGUGGAGGUCGGGCUUGCGCGGGAGUUCGGGAUCGGCCAUGAGCACCUGAGAGAGAGUUGUGUGGCCCUCAUCGCUAUGCACUUUGGAACUGUGUCAUUAAUUCAGCAAUCCUAGACUGGCUGCUGCUGUUGUCCCAGCUACUCAGGAGGAUGCAGGAUUGCUUGAGCCCAGCAGUUGGAGGCCAACCUGUGCAACAUAGCCAGAGCCGUUCUUUAUGUUUUUCAAAAGAAACCCUGUACCCCAGCCAUCAUUUCCCAGUCUCCCCUUCUUCUAGCCUGGGGCAACCAUUAUUGUACUUUUUGUCUCUGCAGGUUUGCCAACUCUAGAUGUUUCAUAUAAAUGGAAUCAUAUUACUGUAUGUGGUCUUUUGUGUCUGGCUUCAUUCACAUUGUAGCAUGUAUUAUAACUUCAUUCCUUUUUGUGGAGGAAUGCUAUUCCACUUGGUAACUAUAUCACAUUUUAUACAUCUGUUUGUCUGUUGAUGGAUUUUGGAUUGUUUCCACUUCUUGGCUAUUAUGAAUAAUGAUGUUGUGAAUAUUCAUGUACAAGUCUUUAUAUGAACUUGUGCAUUGAUUUCUUUUGAGUGUAUACUUAGAAGUAGAAUCUCUAUGUCAUAUGGUAGCUGUUUAACCUUUCCAAGAACUGCCUGUUUUCCAUUUCCACCAGGACUGAAGAAGGGUUCUAAUUCUCUUAUUACUAUUUUUUUUUUUUUGAUGCAGUGUUGGGGAUUAAACCCAUCCCAUCAGGGCCUCACAUAGCUAAGCGUAUUCUGUACCACUGAACUACAUCCCCAACCUCCCCCUGGGGCCCUGCCCCACUUUUUUUUUUUUUUUUUAAUAAGAUAGGAAUCUCUUUGUCUUGUCCAGGCCAGUAUUGAACUCCAAACUCACAUGAGCCUCCUGCCUGAGCAUUUGGAAUGCUGGACCUAGUGGGCUACUGUGCCCAGCUCCUUUAUCUGUUAUUAAAUGGGGGUGUGUAUCUUUUCUUAUUAUGGAAUUAAAAGAAUUCUUUAUAUAUUCUAGAUAUAUACUUUGAAAAUAGAUUUCUCUCAGUGAGUCAGUCAUCUUUUCACUUAUGUCUUAAGCAGAGUUUUAACUUUUGUCCAGUUUGUUUUGUUUUUCUUUAUAAUUUUGGUGUUACAUCUAAGAAACUGUUGUCAAAUUUAUGGUCUCAAAAAAUUAAACCGAUUUAAGACAUGCA